GAGCCUUCCCCUUUGUUUCCCUCAGUAAUGCUAGGGUCUUGAAACUCAGCCCAGUACAAUCAUUGGUGUUUGAGCUGGCAACUGGGGGUCUAAUUGCCAACUAAGAUGGAUAUCUCUGGCUCUGGAGAAACAGCUGGGAUAGGACAUUGUUGCUUCUCUGCGGCAGGCAGCUCAUGAUGCAAAUGCCGAGUUUGGACCGAUAGGAUUCAAACCUUGGUGGCUGCCUCCAGCAUGCACUCUCUGCACUGCUCUGCUUCCUCCUGCCACUCUGGUGACAUUUGCGUGGAGAUAGGGUUUCUCUGUACAGUCCUGGCUGUCCUGGAACUCACUCUGUAGACCAGGCUGGCUUAACAUUGAUGAAGACACCCAAAAAGAAGAUGGAACACCGGAGUGCUUUUGCCAUCAAACUUAUUCGUGCACUGUGUCAAUGCCACAGCUGAUGUGGGUGGUGGAAAUCCUACGGACAAGAGCAAAGACAGCACCUUGUCCACAAGAGUCCAUGGCAGUGUGCUCCUGAACAUGCCACUAAAGCAAACCACACGUCGUGGCCAGCUUUCCCUCCCUUAGAGGAUGCUGUGUAUAAUAAACACAACAAGGAACAGCAAGGCUUUUUUGUUCCCAAUUAUAUUCAGAGGAAGCCUCACCAUGUCUAUGGAUGCCCAGCAGGCUCUUCACCUGUGGCUCAAACCUCAAUAGGCUUUAGGGCAGCUACAAAGAGACAGUCCCUCUGCCACACCUCAUGGAAGUUGUCUGCCUGUCCAGCUUGAUUUGUUUUGAAAUGACACGGAGAGUUACAUAAAGAAAAACUUGUUCUGACAAGAAAAGACUUGAGGAGAUAAAAAUCCUCCUGGUCUCGGGGUUCUCCAGAUCUCUUCCCACACCAUCCUUGUCUCCCUGAGGAAAUGAGUAGUAUUUACAGUAUUCUGCUGCUAUGCUCAACAGAUUCUUGUAUGUACAGUUCUCACCUCUUUUCUCAGAACCUUCUCCGGUGAAUGCCACCUUUGUCUUGCAGACAGCUGAAGUGAGAGAUGAAACAGACUCUUUUAUAGGGGCUCACUACUCACUUUAAGCCCAGGGCUUCUGGCAAAAGUGUGACAUACUUGUUCUUGGAUACCAGAGAUGGCAGACUCCAAAUCUUGUCAUCUUCAAUUGCAAUGGGGAACAAUUUGGCUUCAAAUAAUUUUUCCAACAUACAUGAAGUCUGAAGGAAUUUUUGGAGAGGUCAACAGUAAUGCUUUUCUCUAGAGAUGAUCGUUCUUUAUAGCUUGGUCAUGGGAGGUUCAUAAGGGAGCCUCCUGGACAUGGUACUAUCAACGUGCACGAGAGGUCCACUCUGGUUUGGAAACCCACUGUCUUCUUCCUGGCGCUAGCUUUUGCUAAUCCAGAGAACCUAACUUCCCAGACAUAAGGUGGCAGGUGAGCCUGAUGGACAGUUCCUGGCCGAAGCAGCUCCUGUCUUGUCUCAGACAUCUACAGCAGACAUGGAGGAGUCCUAGCUGAGCAGCCCAAGAAGAUGAGCAGAAGACAGGGGUGUGCAGGUCUCCCGCAGUGCCCCUUGACACAUAUGCUACCUGGGGGGUUUCUCCAUGUUGUCUCACAGAUUUUCACAAAAUAAGUGUCCAUAUUCCAGGAAGGCUAAGGCUGGAAACUAUUGCCUGUUGCACACAUUGCUUCCUAGCUGGCUGGAGAAUGUCCUGCUAGUCACUGUGACAUGCUUUUCCCGGGAGAAAUGAGAAACCUUUUUUGUAAGAACAGGCAUCAUGGAAGAAGAAGAACUAGACAUUUCCACGGACAAGAAUUCAUUACAUCACUGCUCCUUUGACAGACAGGGCUGUAAGCCCUGGGGUGCACAGAGCCUCAGGCUAGCAGCCAGCUCACCAACUCUCAUGCUUUCUUUCUCUGUUUCUCCACAAAAUGAAGACACAAAAAGAACUUAGUUUCAUGGAGAUGGCAUGAAAUGAAAAGUCAGGCUUCAUUUGGCACUUUGUUUGGGUCCCCAAAUAACAAAAUAACUACUUAAGAAAU
ensembl:lincRNA